rnacentral:rRNA from 1 species
UACGGGGGGAGCAAGCGUUGUUCGGAUUUACUGGGCGUAAAGGGCGCGUAGGCGGCGCAACAAGUCAGCUGUGAAAUCUCCGGGCUUAACUCAGAACGGCCAAGUGAUACUGCAGUGCUAGAGUGCAGAAGGGGCAAUCGGAAUUCUUGGUGUAGCGGUGAAAUGCGUAGAUAUCAAGAGGAACACCUGAGGUGAAGACGGGUUGCUAGGCUGACACUGACGCUGAGGCGCGAAAGCCAGGGGAGCAAACGGG